CCUGCACGAAUGGCGUAAUGAUGGCCAGGCUGUCUCCACCCGAGACUCAGUGAAAUUGAACUCGCUGUGAAGAUGCAGUGUACCCGCGGCAAGACGGAAAGACCCCGUGAACCUUUACUAUAGCUUGACACUGAACAUUGAGCCUUGAUGUGUAGGAUAGGUGGGAGGCUUUGAAGUGUGGACGCCAGUCUGCAUGGAGCCGACCUUGAAAUACCACCCUUUAAUGUUUGAUGUUCUAACGUGGACCCGUGAUCCGGGUUGCGGACAGUGUCUGGUGGGUAGUUUGACUGGGGCGGUCUCCUCCUAAAGAGUAACGGAGGAGCACGAAGGUUGGCUAAUCCUGGUCGGACAUCAGGAGGUUAGUGCAAUG
rnacentral:rRNA from 1 species